rnacentral:rRNA from 1 species
AUGUGCGGGAACCUGUCUUCUAUUUCAUCGAACUUCUGGUGGGGUGAAGCAAAUGGUAAGAAGAGGGUGCAUUGGAUCGCCUGGGACAAAAUGUGUACAAGAAAGCAUGAAGGAGGAGCGGGUUUUAGAGAUCCGGAGGCUUUCAACCAAGACAUGCUUGCCAAACAAGCCUGGAGACUGUUCCAGGAACCCGCCUCACUAUGUGCUCGAGUGUUGAAAGCCAGGUAUUAUGUUGAUGGAUCCAUUUUGAAUGCAGCUUGUCCAAGUGGUGGCUCAUACACGUUCAAGAGCAUUUUGCACGGGAGAGAU